UAAGACCCCAGAAAGACUAUCUGGUUGAUAGGUCGAAGGUGUAAGUGCAGCAAUGUAUUUAGCUUAUCGAUACUAAUAGGUCGAGGACUUGACCAAAUU
rnacentral:rRNA from 1 species